rnacentral:ncRNA from 1 species
CAUCGCCCGUCGCUCCUACCGAUUGAAUGGUCCGGUGAAGUGUUCGGAUCGCGGCGACGGGGGCGGUUCGCCGCCCCCGACGUCGCGAGAAGUCCAUUGAACCUUAUCAUUUAGAGGAAGGAGAAGUCGUAACAAGGUUUCCGUAGGUGAACCUAUGGAAG